AGUUGUUUACAUGGAGUAAUUAUGUACAAAUACUUAAACAAAGCUGUACAGAUUAACUUCUCAGUGGUUAGUUGGUUAACGACUACAUUAUUACAUUCCGAUUCAUGUAACUUUAUUGUCCAGGGUUACCAAGCUUUGGUUAAUUUCGUUAUUCUCUCUUCACAGUCCUGCAGGUCCAGGCUGUCCCGGUCUGUUGCCCUCGACGAUCCCCUGACCAUCGGACCCAUCUCCUGGAAGAAGGUGACCGAGAGCACACCUUAGCAUUCGCAGGAGCAUCAAAUGAAUACGUCCCCAUCUGUGUGCUGUUCCCCGGGCCUCUGCCUUUCUGCCUGCUUUGAUUGGACACUUGGGUUUCAGUCCCUGCAUCUGAUUCCUCGUUCCCCUUUAUCCUCCCUGUUCUGAUUGGUCACAUGCCUGUCCUUAUAUGGCAUUGUCCAGGUCUGAUUGGUCACAGCAAAGUGCCAGGGUGUAGUUGCCAUCCACAGAGAUCAUACACACAGUGGUUGAUAUAGUGCCCUUUAAAUGUUCUGUUUUAUAAACUAAUUUGUCAUACUCUCUGAAAGCACACAUAGGGAGGGUCUGCUUGACUUCUGAAAUGAAGGCGUUUCAUCAAUAUCCACAAUUUAUAAUCACAAGACAAGUAUUCAGGGAACCGAAUGAAAUAGUUUCAGUCUGCAUAAAACACCAGUUAAAAAAACAGUCCUUCAGAUCUGCUGAUACUACAUGUCAAAAAAAAGUGAACUCCUUCAGAAGUCCAACUGAACAACACCCCCGAAGAGACCACUGAACUGUACAAAUGUAUUCUGAAUGAUGCUUUUUAAUAAAUGUCUGACAGCAGAUAAA